rnacentral:rRNA from 1 species
UACGGAGGGGGCUAGCGUUGUUCGGAAUUACUGGGCGUAAAGCGCGCGUAGGCGGACCUGCAAGUCGGGGGUGAAAGCCCGAGGCUCCAACCUCGGAACUGCCUUGCGAUACUGCGGUCUCGAGUCCGGGAGAGGUGAGUGGGAAUUCCUAGUGUAGAGGUGAAAUUCGUAGAUAUUCGACAAGAACACCAGUGGCGAAGGCGGCUCACUG